rnacentral:rRNA from 1 species
AGUGAACGCUGGCGGUAGGCCUAACACAUGCAAGUCGAACGGCAGCACAGUAAGAGCUUGCUCUUACGGGUGGCGAGUGGCGGACGGGUGAGGAAUACAUCGGAAUCUACUUUUUCGUGGGGGAUAACGUAGGGAAACUUACGCUAAUACCGCAUACGACCUACGGGUGAAAGCAGGGGAUCUUCGGACCUUGCGCGAUUGAAUGAGCCGCUGUCGGAGUAGCUAGUUGGCGGGGUAAAGGCCCACCAAGGCGACGAUCCGUAGCUGGUCUGAGAGGAUGAUCAGCCACACUAGAACUGAGACACGGUCCAGACUCCUACGGGAGGCAGCAGUGGGGAAUAUUGGACAAUGGGGGCAAGCCUGAUACAGCCAUACCGCGUGGGUGAAGAAGGCCUUCGGGUUGUAAAGCCCUUUUGUUGGGAAAGAAAAGCAGCAGGUUAAUACCCCGCUGUUCUGACGGUACCCAAAGAAUAAGCACCGGCUAACUUCGUG